rnacentral:misc_RNA from 1 species
GAAAUGCGAUAAGUAGUGUGAAUUGCAGAAUUCAGUGAAUCAUCGAAUCUUUGAACGCACAUUGCGCCCCUUGGUAUUCCAUGGGGCAUGCCUGUUCGAGCGUCAUUUGUACCCUCAAGCUCUGCUUGGUGUUGGGUGUUUGUCCCCGUCUCCGCGCGUGGACUCGCCCCAAAGUGAUUGGCAGCCGGCGUACUGGUCCCGGAGCGCAGCACAUGUCGCACAAACGAGUGCCUUGGUACGGCGGCGUCCAUAAGCCCCUCUCUCACGCUCUUGACCUCGGAUCAGGUAGGGAUACCCGCUGAACUUAAGC